AAGUAAUUUCUUUUCCCAAUGUGAGAAAUUAAUCUAAGUUUAAAAAUAUUGAACCCUAUUUCGUUUAUGACUCUUCAAGCCGCCGAGGCACUAUGAAACUUUCAUCUCUGCAUCUUCCACUCAUUCUUAUCCCAAUUCACCUGUAAGAUCUUGGAUACAUCAGUUUUUUGAAGGUUGUGAGAUCAAUUACUACUCUGAAGGAUCUUGACUUAGAGAAAGCAUGGAACACUUUAUCAGAAAAGCACAUGGCUGCUUGAAACUUUGAAUUAUUGGUGUUGAAGUUUUUUAGGAAAAAUUUAUGAUUUUGUAAUUGUAGUUCCAUGUUUGAUGUAAUCGUUUUUUUAUUUUAAUUGUCUAUGGUGUUACUGGCGUGUGUUUGUAUGCCUCUUGGAAAGUUUUGAAAUGAAUAGAAAUUUAUUUAUUGCUUUCUA